rnacentral:rRNA from 1 species
GGGUUGUGAGGUUAAGCGACUAAGCGUACACGGUGGAUGCCCUGGCAGUCAGAGGCGAUGAAGGACGUGCUAAUCUGCGAUAAGCGUCGGUAAGGUGAUAUGAACCGUUAUAACCGGCGAUUUCCGAAUGGGGAAACCCAGUGUGAUUCGUCACACUAUCAUUAACUGAAUCCAUAGGUUAAUGAGGCGAACCGGGGGAACUGAAACAUCUAAGUACCCCGAGGAAAAGAAAUCAACCGAGAUUCCCCCAGUAGCGGCGAGCGAACGGGGAGCAGCCCAGAGCCUGAAUCAGUGUGUGUGUUAGUGGAAGCGUCUGGAAAGGCGCGCGAUACAGGGUGACAGCCCCGUACACAAAAAUGCACAUGCUGUGAGCUCGAUGAGUAGGGCGGGACACGUGGUAUCCUGUCUGAAUAUGGGGGGACCAUCCUCCAAGGCUAAAUACUCCUGACUGACCGAUAGUGAACCAGUACCGUGAGGGAAAGGCGAAAAGAACCCCGGCGAGGGGAGUGAAAAAGAACCUGAAACCGUGUACGUACAAGCAGUGGGAGCACGCUUAGGCGUGUGACUGCGUACCUUUUGUAUAAUGGGUCAGCGACUUAUAUUCUGUAGCAAGGUUAACCGAAUAGGGGAGCCGAAGGGAAACCGAGUCUUAACUGGGCGUUAAGUUGCAGGGUAUAGACCCGAAACCCGGUGAUCUAGCCAUGGGCAGGUUGAAGGUUGGGUAACACUAACUGGAGGACCGAACCGACUAAUGUUGAAAAAUUAGCGGAUGACUUGUGGCUGGGGGUGAAAGGCCAAUCAAACCGGGAGAUAGCUGGUUCUCCCCGAAAGCUAUUUAGGUAGCGCCUCGUGAAUUCAUCUCCGGGGGUAGAGCACUGUUUCGGCAAGGGGGUCAUCCCGACUUACCAACCCGAUGCAAACUGCGAAUACCGGAGAAUGUUAUCACGGGAGACACACGGCGGGUGCUAACGUCCGUCGUGAAGAGGGAAACAACCCAGACCGCCAGCUAAGGUCCCAAAGUCAUGGUUAAGUGGGAAACGAUGUGGGAAGGCCCAGACAGCCAGGAUGUUGGCUUAGAAGCAGCCAUCAUUUAAAGAAAGCGUAAUAGCUCACUGGUCGAGUCGGCCUGCGCGGAAGAUGUAACGGGGCUAAACCAUGCACCGAAGCUGCGGCAGCGACGCUUAUGCGUUGUUGGGUAGGGGAGCGUUCUGUAAGCCUGCGAAGGUGUGCUGUGAGGCAUGCUGGAGGUAUCAGAAGUGCGAAUGCUGACAUAAGUAACGAUAAAGCGGGUGAAAAGCCCGCUCGCCGGAAGACCAAGGGUUCCUGUCCAACGUUAAUCGGGGCAGGGUGAGUCGACCCCUAAGGCGAGGCCGAAAGGCGUAGUCGAUGGGAAACAGGUUAAUAUUCCUGUACUUGGUGUUACUGCGAAGGGGGGACGGAGAAGGCUAUGUUGGCCGGGCGACGGUUGUCCCGGUUUAAGCGUGUAGGCUGGUUUUCCAGGCAAAUCCGGAAAAUCAAGGCUGAGGCGUGAUGACGAGGCACUACGGUGCUGAAGCAACAAAUGCCCUGCUUCCAGGAAAAGCCUCUAAGCAUCAGGUAACAUCAAAUCGUACCCCAAACCGACACAGGUGGUCAGGUAGAGAAUACCAAGGCGCUUGAGAGAACUCGGGUGAAGGAACUAGGCAAAAUGGUGCCGUAACUUCGGGAGAAGGCACGCUGAUAUGUAGGUGAAGUCCCUUGCGGAUGGAGCUGAAAUCAGUCGAAGAUACCAGCUGGCUGCAACUGUUUAUUAAAAACACAGCACUGUGCAAACACGAAAGUGGACGUAUACGGUGUGACGCCUGCCCGGUGCCGGAAGGUUAAUUGAUGGGGUCAGCGCAAGCGAAGCUCUUGAUCGAAGCCCCGGUAAACGGCGGCCGUAACUAUAACGGUCCUAAGGUAGCGAAAUUCCUUGUCGGGUAAGUUCCGACCUGCACGAAUGGCGUAAUGAUGGCCAGGCUGUCUCCACCCGAGACUCAGUGAAAUUGAACUCGCUGUGAAGAUGCAGUGUACCCGCGGCAAGACGGAAAGACCCCGUGAACCUUUACUAUAGCUUGACACUGAACAUUGAGCCUUGAUGUGUAGGAUAGGUGGGAGGCUUGGAAGUGUGGACGCCAGUCUGCAUGGAGCCGACCUUGAAAUACCACCCUUUAAUGUUUGAUGUUCUAACGUUGACCCGUAAUCCGGGUUGCGGACAGUGUCUGGUGGGUAGUUUGACUGGGGCGGUCUCCUCCUAAAGAGUAACGGAGGAGCACGAAGGUUGGCUAAUCCUGGUCGGACAUCAGGAGGUUAGUGCAAUGGCAUAAGCCAGCUUGACUGCGAGCGUGACGGCGCGAGCAGGUGCGAAAGCAGGUCAUAGUGAUCCGGUGGUUCUGAAUGGAAGGGCCAUCGCUCAACGGAUAAAAGGUACUCCGGGGAUAACAGGCUGAUACCGCCCAAGAGUUCAUAUCGACGGCGGUGUUUGGCACCUCGAUGUCGGCUCAUCACAUCCUGGGGCUGAAGUAGGUCCCAAGGGUAUGGCUGUUCGCCAUUUAAAGUGGUACGCGAGCUGGGUUUAGAACGUCGUGAGACAGUUCGGUCCCUAUCUGCCGUGGGCGCUGGAGAACUGAGGGGGGCUGCUCCUAGUACGAGAGGACCGGAGUGGACGCAUCACUGGUGUUCGGGUUGUCAUGCCAAUGGCACUGCCCGGUAGCUAAAUGCGGAAGAGAUAAGUGCUGAAAGCAUCUAAGCACGAAACUUGCCCCGAGAUGAGUUCUCCCUGACCCUUUAAGGGUCCUGAAGGAACGUUGAAGACGACGACGUUGAUAGGCCGGGUGUGUAAGCGCAGCGAUGCGUUGAGCUAACCGGUACUAAUGAACCGUGAGGCUUAACCUUACAACGCCGAAGCUGUU